rnacentral:rRNA from 1 species
UACGGGGGGGGCAAGCGUUGUUCGGAAUUACUGGGCGUAAAGGGCGCGUAGGCGGCGUGACAAGUCACUUGUGAAAUCUCCGGGCUUAACUCGGAACGGUCAAGUGAUACUGUCGUGCUAGAGUACAGAAGGGGCAACUGGAAUUCUCGGUGUAGCGGUGAAAUGCGUAGAUAUCGAGAGGAACACCUGCGGCGAAGGCGGGUUGCUGGGCUGAUACUGACGCUGAGGUGCGAAAGCGUGGGGAGCAAACAGG